rnacentral:rRNA from 1 species
UACGUAGGGGGCAAGCGUUGUCCGGAAUCAUUGGGCGUAAAGAGCGUGUAGGCGGCCCGAUAAGUCCGCUGUGAAAGUCCAGGGCUCAACCCUGGAAUGCCAGUGGAAACUGUCGGGCUAGAGUCCGGAAGAGGCGAGUGGAAUUCCUGGUGUAGCGGUGAAAUGCGCAGAUAUCAGGAGGAACACCAAUGGCGAAGGCAGCUCGCUGGGACGGUACUGACGCUGAGACGCGAAAGCGUGGGGAGCAAACAGG